CCGAACUAGCGCAUCCUUGCGGAGCGCGAACCUCGGUCCCCACGGGGGUAUCGUCCGCCAGGCUAUAACACACCCCGGAGGGUGCUACGUUCCUGACGGUCUUAUCCCCCCACGAGAACCGAUGCUGGCCUGUGCCGGGCGGAGUGCACAGGGGAGAACCCCUGAUGAGCCGCCCGGCCCAAGUCUGGUCACAAGUGCUUCCCUUUCAACAAUUUCACGUACUAUUUAACCCCCUUUUCAAGGUGCUUUUCAUCUUUCGAUCACUCUACUUGUGCGCUAUCGGUCUCUGGCCGGUAUUUAGCUUUAGAAGAGAUUUACCUCCCAUUUAGAGCAGCAUUCCCAAACUACUCGACUCGUCGAAGGAGCUUCACACAGGCUUGGUGUCCGACCAUACGGGGCUCUCACCCUCUGUGGCGUCCCGUUCCAGGGAACUCGGAAGGCACCGCGCCAGAAGCAUCCUCUGCAAAUUACAACUCGGGCCGAGGCCAGAUUUCAAAUUUGAGCUGUUGCCGCUUCACUCGCCGUUACUAGGGCAAUCCCUGUUGGUUUCUUUUCCUCCGCUUAUUGAUAUGCUUAAGUUCAGCGGGUAUUCCUACCUGAUCCGAGGUCAAAUUUUCAGAAGUUGGGGGUUUAACGGCAGGGCACCGCCAGGGCCUUCCAAAGCGAGGGUUUAACUACUACGCUCGGGGUCCUGGCGAGCUCGCCACUAGAUUUCAGGGCCUGCUUGGUAAAAAGCAGUGCCCCAACACCAAGCAAUGCUUGAGGGUUGAAAUGACGCUCGAACAGGCAUGCCCUCCGGAAUACCAGAGGGCGCAAUGUGCGUUCAAAGAUUCGAUGAUUCACUGAAUUCUGCAAUUCACAUUACUUAUCGCAUUUCGCUGCGUUCUUCAUCGAUGCCAGAACCAAGAGAUCCGUUGUUGAAAGUUUUGAUUCAUUUGUGUUUUUUCUCAGAGUUUCAGUGUAAAAACAAGAGUUAACUUGGCCGCCGGCGUGCCUGCUCCCUGUCUCCAGGGGACCCCGAGGGGGCCAGCAUGCGCCGAGGCAACAGUAAAGGUAUAAGUUCC
rnacentral:misc_RNA from 1 species